UAAUCUUAUCUCUAAAUAACAAAUUUAAUCCUAGGGCUGCUGGGAACAUAACCGCGGAUGACCAGUACACCAGCCCUUCAAUGGGUUGGGGCUGCUCCAUCUCAUGGGCCCCAAUGGGCUGCACAUGACAGCUGACAUCCUGCAAGUCCAUGUAAUAAGUCAAUGACAUGAUGGACUACAAAAGCAUGGGCAACAAGAAGCUGCUAGAAAAAAACCUUUGAACAGAGGUGGAAAAUUCAGAAUGAAGGUCCUACCUGUGGAUAACUUCCCAACUCUGAACUUGGCACAUAUCAAUGCAGGCACACCUCUGCAAGAAACGGCUUAUUUCCCCAGCUAUCAGCAAAUGUAGUAAGACCAACUAUCUGUACAAGAACGAGCAUUGGAAUAACAUUUCAGUCAACUGUAUUGGUAGAUGCCUCUUACUCAGUGUUGCUCAUCUAUCGUGUUUUGAACCUUUUUGGAUGCCAGGAACUUCAAAG
rnacentral:lncRNA from 1 species